rnacentral:lncRNA from 1 species
CUCAAGCACAUUAGAAACUCAGAAAAGGGCAGGUCUAAUGUGAGACAGGAUAAGCACAAAAGUCUUCAGCUGGCAAAGUACUAUGGCAGACGCUGUGAUUCUUCACUUCUUUCUGGAUUGAACUGCCCUAUUAUGUACACUUGCAGCAAUUCCCAGCAAGGAAUGGAAUCUGUUUCCCCACCUCUUGAGUCUGGACUGGUCCAAUGACCUGAUUUGACGAAAAGAAUGAAGUGGGAGUGACCAUGUGCCAGUUCUGAGCCUAGAUUUCAAGAAACCCACUCUGUUGGAAUCCUCUUGCUGCCAUGUGAGUAAGCCUGUGUAAGCCUGCUGGACAAUGAGAAACACAGAGCCUAGUUGCGGCAUUAACCCAGCCGACAGCCAGAAUAUCCUGCAGCUCACCAAAGAUGCUAAGGGAGUCCAGGAAUGUGAAGCUGCUAAGCAAAGAGGAGAUCUUCAAUAAAUGUUGCAUCAGAAGAAAUAUAAAAACCUGAGAACAAAAGUCUCUCAUCCAUUCGGGGGGUAUCCCCCAUCUUCUAUGCCUCUCAUCUAGAGGAAACACAGCCCACCUGCUUUCAAGCCAGGCACGUCCUUGGGCGUUCUGCUGGGGCUGCGUGUGAACUCAGUGCAGCAUUCCCAAUGACUACAUCUAAUCAGUUCAGCAGCUCGUGGAUUCUGCAGGAUUGAACCAUUUGCUGUGCAAGCCCAAGUGAGAAAUCUGAGAAUCAGAGAACUUGCUAAGAGCACACUACAAGGAAGCCAUGAGAAUGCUCCCCGGUAUCCGCUAUCAAGAGGGAUACAUGUCGUGGCUAACCAGCCCACAUCGAAAGCUCAUCUGAGGUUCGCAUACUUCUUUUCAUUACACCAUUAGCCAACUGUUGACAAAAAAUGGGUCCAAAUUUAAGCUUAAAAAAAAUAUGGUCCUUCCAAAUCUUGAUUGUAUGUGUGGAGAAGAACACGGAUGUUGAGGAAAUGGGGCAGCAAGUAAAAACAACUGUUUGAAGAGUUUUGUUUUAAAAAGAGUGCAACAGGGACCAACCCAGUGGUUAAGUUCACUUCGGUGGCCUGGCGUUCACAGGUUCGGAUACCAAGCACGGACCUACACACCGCUCAUCAAGCCACACUGCGGCAGCAUCCCACAUGCAAAAAACAAAGGAAGAUUGGCACAGAUGUUAGCUCAGCCACAACCUCCCUUACCGAAAGAAAAAAGAAAGGGUGCAAAAAAAAUAAAGCAAAAGGUGGAG